rnacentral:lncRNA from 1 species
UCUACUUUUCUCUAUAUUGUUCUUGUUCUUAUAUUAUUUCAUAACAGACUAUGAUUUUUCUUUUUUUUUAGAAUUACAAAACGACUUCCACUGUAAAGAUGGUUAGACACUACAUCAAACCACAACAAAUUCAAAAAGAAAAUAGCAGCAAAAUCAGGUUUUACUCUCUUAUAACUUCAAUACUUAUAUUCUAUAAUCUUUAUACAUGUAUUCCUUGUGAUUUUUG